rnacentral:rRNA from 1 species
GAUCAUGGCUCAGGAUGAACGCUAGCUACAGGCUUAACACAUGGCAAGUCGAGGGGCAGCGCAGUGUAGCAAUACAGUGGGCGGCGACCGGCGCACGGGUGCGUAACGCGUAUCCAACCUUCCCGUUACUCAGGGAUAGCCUUCCGAAAGGGAGAUUAAUACCUGAUGGUGUUCAAAUUCCGCAUGUUAUUUGAACUAAAGAUUUAUCGGUAACGGAUGGGGAUGCGUGACAUUAGGUAGAUGGCGGGGUAACGGCCCACCAUGCCUACGAUGUCUAGGGGUUCUGAGAGGAAGGUCCCCCACACUGGAACUGAGACACGGUCCAGACUCCUACGGGAGGCAGCAGUGAGGAAUAUUGGUCAAUGGUCUGACGACUGAACCAGCCAUGCCGCGUGAAGGUCACGGCCCUAUGGGUCUUAAACUUCUUUUGUUAGGGAGCAAUAAGUUCUACGUGUAGGAUGAUGAGAGUACCUUACGAAUAAGCAUCGGCUAACUCCGUG